UAGACCUCAGUGUAGUCCUGGUCCUCUAGAGACCUCAGUGUAGUCCUGGUCCUCUGUAGACCUCAGUGUAGUCCUGGUCCUCUAGAGACCUCAGUGUAGUCCUGGUCCUCUAGAGACCUUAGUGUAGUCCUGGUCCUCUAGAGACCUCAGUGUAGUCCUGGUCCUCUGUAGACCUCAGUGUAGUCCUGGUCCUCUAUAGACCUCAGUGUAGUCCUGGUCCUCUAGAGACCUCAGUGUAGUCCUGGUCCUCUAUAGACCUCAGUGUAGUCCUGGUCCUCUAUAGACCUCAGUGUAGUCCUGGUCCUCUAGAGACCUCAGUGUAGUCCUGGUCCUCUAGAGACCUCAGUGUAGUCCUGGUCCUCUAGAGACCUCAGUGUAGUCCUGGUCCUCUAGAGACCUUAGUGUAGUCCUGGUCCUCUAGAGACCUCAGUGUAGUCCUGGUCCUCUAGAGACCUCAGUGUAGUCCUGGUCCUCUAUAGACCUCAGUGUAGUCCUGGUCCUCUAGAGACCUCAGUGUAGUCCUGGUCCUCUAGAGACCUCAGUGUAGUCCUGGUCCUCUAGAGACCUCAGUGUAGUCCUGGUCCUCUAUAGACCUCAGUGUAGUCCUGGUCCUCUAGAGACCUCAGUGUAGUCCUGGUCCUCUAUAGACCUCAGUGUAGUCCUGGUCCUCUAGAGACCUCAGUGUAGUCCUGGUCCUCUAGAGACCUCAGUGUAGUCCUGGUCCUCUAGAGACCUCAGUGUAGACCUGGUCCUCUAGAGACCUCAGUGUAGUCCUGGUCCUCUAGAGACCUCAGUGUAGUCCUGGUCCUCUAGAGACCUCCGUGUAGUCCACGGUGGACUAGACCCAGGGAAACCAGGACCUAAAUAAGGAAGUAAAUGAGAUGUUUUCUAAAGGCACUACCGCUUUAGUCCACACGGGGGCGCCAGAAUCAACACAAUGAAGGAACAAACAGCCUCUAACGUGCUCAACGUUUCUUUUUUUAAUGGCAACACAUUUGAAAACACAUUUCCUGAAUGAGUGUCGCCUCCAAGCCGCCGGUGAUCUCAGGUUUCCGCCGCUUGUCGUUCGAUUCCCGCUCUUGUUGUUUUUGUUGUCGUUGCAGGUUUCGCCCAAUCAGGAGGCCGAGCUGGCGCGGUGGACCUCGACCGUCCGGCGCUGCCCAGCGAGUCGUGGCGCUCAUGGCCGGAGGAACCGGCUGAACACGCGGCCGCACGGCCAAGAACCGACACGCCGCACAGUGACCCGCGGGUUUAUUCACAACGAUGAGCAACGGAGACACAGCAGCUAGAGCCGACGAGUCGAACACUGAUCUGAGAUCUGAUCCUUCGUUAACGUCGCUACAAAUCCUGAGAAAAAAGAAACGUUCACUUUCUGAUUCUUCUUCUUUACGAAAAGUCGGACAAAUCUUUAAAAACCAGACAAACACUCACAGCAACAAGAGAGAGCAACAUCUGCAGGCGAACGAUGCGACCGUCCCCCUCCGCGGCCACCAGGGGGCAGCAGAGCGGACUCACAGACACGCAGGACGGACGCCAGCAGCUUUUUAAGGGUCGGAUGUGACUGAGAAACAAUAAUAAUAAAUAGCUUUAUGAACUCUA